AGUGAACGCUGGCGGUAGGCCUAACACAUGCAAGUCGAACGGCAGCACAGUAAGAGCUUGCUCUUACGGGUGGCGAGUGGCGGACGGGUGAGGAAUACAUCGGAAUCUACUUUUUCGUGGGGGAUAACGUAGGGAAACUUACGCUAAUACCGCAUACGACCUACGGGUGAAAGCAGGGGAUCUUCGUACCUUGCGCGAUUGAAUGAGCCGAUGUCGGAUUAGCUAGUUGGCGGGGUAAAGGCCCACCAAGGCGACGAUCCGUAGCUGGUCUGAGAGGAUGAUCAGCCACACUGGAACUGAGACACGGACCAGACUCCUACGGGAGGCAGCAGUGGGGAAUAUUGGACAAUGGGCGCAAGCCUGAUCCAGCCAUACCGCGUGGGUGAAGAAGGCCUUCGGGUUGUAAAGCCCUUUUGUUGGGAAAGAAAAGCAGCAGGUUAAUACCCCGCUGUUCUGACGGUACCAAAAGAAUAAGCACCGGCUAACUUCGUG
rnacentral:rRNA from 1 species